UUACGGCCACAUCAUGCUGAAAAAACGGUUCCCGUACGAUCAGCGGAGUUAAGCAACGUUGAACCUGAUCAGUACCUAGAUAGGUGACCGCAGUGGAAUACCAGGUGCUA